UACAGAGGUCUCAAGCGUUGCUCGGAUUCAUUGGGCGUAAAGGGUGCGUAGGCGGCGCGGUAAGUCGGGCGUGAAAUCUCGGAGCUUAACUCCGAAACUGCAUUCGAUACUGCCGUGCUUGAGGACUGGAGAGGAGACUGGAAUUUACGGUGUAGCGGUGAAAUGCGUAGAUAUCGUAAGGAAGACCAGUGGCGAAGGCGGGUCUCUGGACAGUUCCUGACGCUGAGGCGCGAAGGUCAGGGGAGCAAACGGG
rnacentral:rRNA from 1 species